rnacentral:rRNA from 1 species
GAUGAACGCUGGCGGCGUGCCUAAUACAUGCAAGUCGAGCGAACGGACGAGAAGCUUGCUUCUCUGAUGUUAGCGGCGGACGGGUGAGUAACACGUGGAUAACCUACCUAUAAGACUGGGAUAACUUCGGGAAACCGUAGCUAAUACCGGAUAAUAUUUUGAACCGCAUGGUUCAAAAGUGAAAGACGGUCUUGCUGUCACUUAUAGAUGGAUCCGCGCUGCAUUAGAUAGUUGGUAAGGUAACGGCUUACCAAGGCAACGAUGCAUAGCCGACCUGAGAGGGUGAUCGGCCACACUGGAACUGAGACACGGUCCAGACUCCUACGGGAGGCAGCAGUAGGGAAUCUUCCGCAAUGGGCGAUAGCCUGACGGAGCAACGCCGCGUGAGUGAUGAAGGUCUUCGGAUCGUAAAACUCUGUUAUUAGGGAAGAACAUAUGUGUAAGUAACUGUGCACAUCUUGACGGUACCUAAUCAGAAAGCCACGGCUAACUACGUG